GCCACAAUAUCCCUAGAUCCAUAGGAGCUUCUAUAGAGGGUUCUUCUCACAUGAGUACCGGUCCGAUUCAUAACAUGGCCGAGCUGCGCACAUCUAUCCCAGGCUUCCCCGGGUAGAUGUAUAUUGAUGCUCGUGAUCCUUCUGUGUAGCCGAUGUUACCGAGGACGACGAUGGCAGAUGAGAGCAUAGGCCUUCCCGUCACAUAUAAUUGUGUCUCUCCUCCAGUUUAUGCUGAGUGUUGUCAGAUGACCCAGAGCCUUAGUACAUGCUUAUAUGGCCAGACAGAUCGUAACCGUGACCAGAUUUGUACAUCACUAAUCUGGAGAGAUGUCUGCAUCGGAUCGAUCCUGCAUUUGGUGCUAGAGGUCUGAAACUUGGAUUUGGAGGCAGAGGAUCUGGCCUCAGAUUUGGAGGUGGAGGACUUCCUUUAGAGCUGGCGGGUCUACAUUCGGAGCUGGAGGAUCCGUUCUUAGAUUUGGGUCUGGGAGUGGAGAGACUAAUGUGGCUGUACCUUCUCCGUUGAUGAGUUCGAGCUUCUCCUGAAUGAUGAUGGACAAGAUGGACAAGACAGACAAGGUGGACAGUCAUCGGGUUGACACUAAGACUUUCCUUUUAUUUUGAACAAAGAAAUUUUUUUUUUUUUUUAAAAUGUGAACUCCUCUUUUCCUUUUCUUUAAAAUAAUGCUCAUGAUGUUAAUUGACUAGAUUUUAUUUAUUUUAUUGUUGCUUUUGUGGAUAA